rnacentral:lncRNA from 1 species
UGGUCGGUAAUAAGGCGCCUGAUUUUGAAGCUGAGGCAGUUUUUGAUCAAGAGUUCAUAAAGGUACUUUCAUUCCAUUCAAACCUUAUUUAACAUGUUAGUUAGUUAAGUGUCAUAAGCUAAGGUCAAUGCAGUAGAGCAAUGUUCUGAUAGUAAUCGACCUAUGAAUCAUGGUUUCAGGUGAAGCUCUCUGAGUACAUUGGCAAAAAGUAUGUUAUUCUAUUCUUCUACCCUUUGGACUUCACUUUUGUCUGCCCCACUGGUUAGUAUUCUGCUAAGGAAAUAGCUUCAAAACUGAAACUCUCGCCCUCAUAGUCACUGAAAUUUCCAAUUUUUCUUUGCUUAUUCUAGAGAUUACUGCCUUCAGUGACCGUUAUGAAGAAUUUGAGAAGCUAAACACCGAAGUAUUAGGGGUCUCUGUCGACAGUGUGGUAAGUCAAAUUUUUAUUUCUCCACCUGAACCAAGAAAGAACAUUCUGGUCUCAGCAUUUUGAAAAAUGGUUUCAAGUAUUUGAUGUACUCAGAACCUUGGCAAGUGGCAGUCUGAUAAUCGAAUGGAACGUUUUCUUUUGGAUAAUGGAACGUUUGAUUCCAUGUUCAUGUAGUUCUCGCAUCUUGCGUGGGUCCAAACAGACAGAAAGUCGGGAGGGCUCGGUGAUCUGAAUUAUCCUCUUGUUUCGGAUAUCACUAAAUCCAUUUCAAAAUCGUUUGGAGUGCUCAUCCCUGAUCAGGUAAACGAUUUCUUCUGACAUAGUUGCAUCAUACUUGCAUUGAGUCCAAUCCACUUGUGUUCUUUCAAGUAACGUAUAGCCACUUUGAAUCAAAGCAUUUUGCUAAUAUAUAAGUACAGGG